AGAUUUUACUAAGAAGUACAAUGCCCUUCGUUCCAACACAGAACAGCCAAAUGCCAAUCAGCCAAAUAAGCAAACAACAAAAACAAAAGCUUACCAGCCAAGUGAGAAGCACUUUCAGAAGUUUGUAAACAAGAUCAAAGUUGAACACUAUGCUGGUCCUUCGUUGCCUGGUGCUGCAUCCAAUCAGCUCCUCCGUAACAGCAAGAAACAAGAAGCAGACAGAGUGAGGGUAAAAGAAAAAGCAGACAGAGCCACAGUAGAACAGGUAUUAUAAUAAUAAUGGUUAUUUGAUAUUAUUCUCCUGAAGAAGAUUGAAGCAACUCAAUCGAAAGGUCAUUAAAUAUAAUAAUUUGUA